rnacentral:rRNA from 1 species
UACGUAGGGUGCGAGCGUUGUCCGGAAUUACUGGGCGUAAAGAGCUCGUAGGCGGCUUGUCGCGUUGUUCGUGAAAAUUUACCGCUCAACGGUGAACUUGCGGGCGAUACGGGCAGGCUAGAGUACUGCAGGGGAGACUGGAAUUCCUGGUGUAGCGGUGAAAUGCGCAGAUAUCAGGAGGAACACCGGUGGCGAAGGCGGGUCUCUGGGCCGUAACUGACGCUGAGGAGCGAAAGCGUGGGGAGCGAACAGG